rnacentral:rRNA from 1 species
GACGAACGCUGGCGGCGUGCCUAAUACAUGCAAGUCGAGCGAGCGGAACUAACAGAUUUACUUCGGUAAUGACGCUAGGAAAGCGAGCGGCGGAUGGGUGAGUAACACGUGGGGAACCUGCCCCAUAGUCUGGGAUACCACUUGGAAACAGGUGCUAAUACCGGAUAAGAAAGCAGAUCGCAUGAUCAGCUUUUAAAAGGCGGCGUAAGCUGUCGCUAUGGGAUGGCCCCGCGGUGCAUUAGCCAGUUGGUAAGGUAAAGGCUUACCAAGGCGAUGAUGCAUAGCCGAGUCGAGAGACUGAUCGGCCACAUUGGGACUGAGACACGGCCCAAACUCCUACGGGAGGCAGCAGUAGGGAAUCUUCCACAAUGGACGCAAGUCUGAUGGAGCAACGCCGCGUGAGUGAAGAAGGUUUUCGGAUCGUAAAGCUCUGUUGUUGGUGAAGAAGGAUAGAGGUAGUAACUGGCCUUUAUUUGACGGUAAUCAACCAGAAAGUCACGGCUAACUACGUG